AUUAAAGUUGUUGCAGUUAAAAAGCUCGUAGUUGGAUCUCGGGUACUGGCAUGUGGUACGCUUUACUGCUGUUACUACAUGUCCGGUCCUAAUCAAUCGGUUGGCCGUUGAUGCCCUUUAUUGGGUGUUUUCGGUAGCCGGUACGUUUACUUUGAGAAAAUUAGAGUGCUUAAAGCAGGCCAUACGCCUGAAUAAUGUUGCAUGGAAUAAUAGAAUAGGACCUCGGUUCUAUUUUGUUGGUUUUGUAGAGCAUUGAGGUAAUGAUUAAUAGGGACAGACGGGGGCAUUCGUAUUGCGGUGUUAGAGGUGAAAUUCUUGGAUCGCCGCAAGACGAACAACUGCGAAAGCAUUUGCCAAGAAUGUUUUCAUUAAUCAAGAACGAAAGUUGGAGGUUCGAAGACGAUUAGAUACCGUCCUAGUUCCAACCAUAAACGAUGCCAACUAGCGAUUAGCUGAUGUUAAUUAAACGACACAGCUAGCAGCUUCCGGGAAACCAAAGUUUUUGGGUUCCGGGGGAAGUAUGGUUGCAAAGCUGAAACUUAAAGGAAUUGACGGAAGGGCACCACCAGGAGUGGAGCCUGCGGCUUAAUUUGACUCAACACGGGAAAUCUCACCCGGCCCGGACACUGUAAGGAUUGACAGAUUGAGAGCUCUUUCUUGAUUCGGUGGGUGGUGGUGCAUGGCCGUUCUUAGUUGGUGGAGCGAUUUGUCUGGUUAAUUCCGAUAACGAACGAGACUCUAGCCUGCUAAAUAGUACGCCGAUCUUUAGUCGGCGCGUACUUCUUAGAGGGACAAGUAGCGGUUAGCUACACGAAAUUGAGCAAUAACAGGUCUGUGAUGCCCUUAGAUGUUCGGGGCCGCACGCGCGCUACACUGAAGGGAUAAGCGUGUUUUUCCUGCUCCGAAAGGAGUGGGUAACCCGCUGAAACCCCUUCGUGAUUGGGAUCGGGGCUUGCAAUUAUUCUCCGUGAACGAGGAAUUCCCAGUAAGCGCGAGUCAUAAGCUCGCGUUGAUUACGUCCCUGCCCUUUGUACACACCGCCCGUCGCUACUACCGAUUGAAUGGUUUAGUGAGAUCUUCGGAUUGAUCCGGAGGUCCGCAAGGUCCUCUAGGUUUCGAGAAGAUGAUCAAACUUGAUCAUUUAGAGGAAGUAAAAGUCGUAACAAGGUUUC
rnacentral:rRNA from 1 species